rnacentral:rRNA from 1 species
CUUGCUAAGUUUGAUGGCGACCGGCGCACGGGUGAGUAACACGUAUCCAACCUGCCGAUAACUCGGGGAUAGCCUUUCGAAAGAAAGAUUAAUACCCGAUGGCAUAAUAGAACCGCAUGGUUUGAUUAUUAAAGAAUUUCGGUUAUCGAUGGGGAUGCGUUCCAUUAGGUUGUUGGCGGGGUAACGGCCCACCAAGCCUUCGAUGGAUAGGGGGUUCUGAGAGGAAGGGUCCCCCCACAUUGGAACUGAGACACGGUCCAAACUCCUACGGGAGGCAGCAUG